GGAAUGGAUUAUACUACAUUGUAGCAAGCGGAGUUGGACUGCAAAUGUUGACUGUCAGAUAUGUUAGUUCAUGAUACUCAGGUAGCUUUAAAUCUGGUUUACAUUUAUAGUCGUGCCGGUUGCGACCAUACCAGGGUGGAAAGACCAUUGCUAGCGUACGCAGAUAUUUUUUGGACUGUACAAUACAAUAUGAAACCGCUCGCGUUGUUCGGAGCAGUCAAAUUAAG